rnacentral:rRNA from 1 species
GACAGAGGGUGCAAACGUUGUUCGGAAUUACUGGGCGUAAAGCGCAUGUAGGCGGCCUAGCAGGUCGGAUGUGAAAUCCCUCGGCUCAACCAAGGAAGUGCAUUCGAAACCGCAAGGCUGGAGUCCCGGAGAGGAUGGUGGAAUUCUCGGUGUAGAGGUGAAAUUCGUAGAUAUCGAGAGGAACACCGGUGGCGAAAGCGGCCAUCUGGACGAGGACUGACGCUGAGAUGCGAAAGCGUGGGGAGCAAACAGG